CAGCCGCCGCGGGAAUACGAAGGGUGCAAGCGUUACUCGGAAUUACUGGGCGUAAAGCGUGCGUAGGUGGUGGUUUAAGUCCGUUGUGAAAGCCCUGGGCUCAACCUGGGAAUUGCAGUGGAUACUGGAUCACUAGAGUGUGGUAGAGGAUAGUGGAAUUUCCGGUGUAGCAGUGAAAUGCGUAGAGAUCGGAAGGAACAUCUGUGGCGAAGGCGACUAUCUGGGCCAACACUGACACUGAGGCACGAAAGCGUGGGGAGCAAACAGGAUUAGAUACCCCGGUAGUCCCUGUCUCUUAUAC
rnacentral:rRNA from 1 species